rnacentral:rRNA from 1 species
CAGUCGCCGCGGGAAUGCGUAGGUGGCAAGCGUUGUCCGGAAUUAUUGGGCGUAAAGGGCUCGCAGGCGGUUUCUUAAGUCUGAUGUGAAAGCCCCCGGCUCAACCGGGGAGGGUCAUUGGAAACUGGGAAACUUGAGUGCAGAAGAGGAGAGUGGAAUUCCACGUGUAGCGGUGAAAUGCGUAGAGAUGUGGAGGAACACCAGUGGCGAAGGCGACUCUCUGGUCUGUAACUGACGCUGAGGAGCGAAAGCGUGGGGAGCGAACAGGAUUAGAUACCCGGGUAGUCCCUGUCUCUUAUAC